AAUAGCUUUGAGAAAGAAUUUUAUAAGCUUCUUAACAAUGCUAUGUUUGGAAAAACAAUUGAAAAUAUAAGAAAACGUACUAAUCUUGAACUGGUAACUGAUUCCAGAAAAGUAGAAAAACUUGUUUCUAAACCUGGGUUCAAGAACAGAAUUGUCUAUGGUGAGAAUAUUUCAGCCAUUGAAAUGGUAAAGGAUAAAUUGUAUUUUAAUAAACCAAUCUAUAUAGGUUUUACUGUUCUUGAAUUAUCUAAAUUGCAUAUGUAUGAUUUUCACUAUAAUGUAGUUAAACCUUUUUAUUCCAAUAAGAUUGUUAACGUACUUUAUUUAGAUACAGAUUCCUUUUUUUAUGAAAUAUUCACUCCUGAUGUGUAUGAGGAUUUCCUCAACCCAAACUUAAAGUGCUUUCUUGAUUUGUCCGACUACCCUAAAGAUCAUAAAUGUUAUGACGAGACAAACAAGAAAACUCUAGGAAAAUUCAAAGAUGAAUGUGUAAGUAUUCCUAUUUUAGAAUUUAUAGGUUUGAAACCUAAAUUGUACACAUAUACAACUAUGAAUAAUGAAUAUCUUACAACAAGUCAGGGUCAUAGAUUGAAAAAAGCCAAAGGUAUAACAAAAUCAGUUGUAGAUAAAAAAAUUCACUUUAGUGAUUUCCUGAACUGUUUGAAUAAUAAAGUCAAUUUAAGAUGUGAUGUAACAUUAUUUCAAUCAAAAAAACAUAAUAUCAAAACAUUAUCAGUAAACAAAUUGGCAUUAAAUUAUGAUGAUGACAAAAGGAGUGUUUGUGAAGAUGGCAUCAAUACAAUUGCUUAUGGACAUUACCAACUAAAAUGAUGUUAACAAUAUACAUUCACCUGUUGUUAUGUAAAUAUUGUAAAUAAAACUGAUUGUAUACUAAUAA